rnacentral:rRNA from 2 species
GGGUUGUGAGGUUAAGCGACUAAGCGUACACGGUGGAUGCCCUGGCAGUCAGAGGCGAUGAAGGACGUGCUAAUCUGCGAAAAGCGCCGGCGAGGUGAUAUGAACCUUUGACCCGGCGAUGUCCGAAUGGGGAAACCCAGUGCAAUUCGUUGCACUAUCGUUAACUGAAUACAUAGGUUAACGAGGCGAACCGGGGGAACUGAAACAUCUAAGUACCCCGAGGAAAAGAAAUCAACCGAGAUUCCCCCAGUAGCGGCGAGCGAACGGGGAGCAGCCCAGAGUCUGAAUCAGCUUGUGUGUUAGUGGAAGCGUCUGGAAAGUCGCACGGUACAGGGUGACAGUCCCGUACACGAAAAUGCACAGGUUGUGAACUCGAAGAGUAGGGCGGGACACGUGGUAUCCUGUCUGAAUAUGGGGGGACCAUCCUCCAAGGCUAAAUACUCCUGACUGACCGAUAGUGAACCAGUACCGUGAGGGAAAGGCGAAAAGAACCCCGGCGAGGGGAGUGAAAAAGAACCUGAAACCGUGUACGUACAAGCAGUGGGAGCACCUUCGUGGUGUGACUGCGUACCUUUUGUAUAAUGGGUCAGCGACUUAUAUUCUGUAGCAAAGGUUAACCGUAUAGGGGAGCCGAGGGAAACCGAGUCUUAACUGGGCGUUAAGUUGCAGGGUAUACGACCCGAAACCCGGUGAUCUAGCCAUGGGCAGGUUGAAGGUUGGGUAACACUAACUGGAGGACCGAACCGACUAAUGUUGAAAAAUUAGCGGAUGACUUGUGGCUGGGGGUGAAAGGCCAAUCAAACCGGGAGAUAGCUGGUUCUCCCCGAAAGCUAUUUAGGUAGCGCCUCGUGAACUCAUCUUCGGGGGUAGAGCACUGUUUCGGCUAGGGGGCCAUCCCGGCUUACCAACCCGAUGCAAACUACGAAUACCGAAGAAUGUUAUCACGGGAGACACACGGCGGGUGCUAACGUCCGUCGUGAAGAGGGAAACAACCCAGACCGCCAGCUAAGGUCCCAAAGUCAUGGUUAAGUGGGAAACGAUGUGGGAAGGCACAGACAGCCAGGAUGGUUGGCUUAGAAGCAGCCAUCAUUUAAAGAAGCGUAAUAGCUCACUGGUCGAGUCGGCCUGCGCGGAAGAUGUAACGGGGCUAAACCAUGCACCGAAGCUGCGGCAGCGACACUAUGUGUUGUUGGGUAGGGGAGCGUUCUGUAAGCCGUUGAAGGUGGCCUGUGAGGGUUGCUGGAGGUAUCAGAAGUGCGAUGCUGACAUAAGUAACGAUAAAAGCGGGUGAAAAGCCCGCUCGCCGGAAGACCAAGGGUUCCUGUCCAACGUUAAUCGGGGCAGGGUGAGUCGACCCCUAAGGCGAGGCCGAAAGGCGUAGUCGAUGGGAAACAGGUUAAUAUUCCUGUACUUGGUGUUACUGCGAAGGGGGGACGGAGAAGGCUAUGUUAGCCGGGCGACGGUUGUCCGGUUUAAGCAUGUAGGCGGAACGAUUAGGUAAAUCCGGUCGUUUAUUAACGCUGAGGUGUGAUGACGAGGCACUACGGUGCUGAAGUAACAAAUGCCCUGCUUCCAGGAAAAGCCUCUAAGCAUCAGGUAAC